GAUGAACGCUGGCGGCGUGCCUAAUACAUGCAAGUCGAGCGAACAGACGAGGAGCUUGCUCCUCUGACGUUAGCGGCGGACGGGUGAGUAACACGUGGAUAACCUACCUAUAAGACUGGGAUAACUUCGGGAAACCGGAGCUAAUACCGGAUAAUAUAUUGAACCGCAUGGUUCAAUAGUGAAAGACGGUUUUGCUGUCACUUAUAGAUGGAUCCGCGCCGCAUUAGCUAGUUGGUAAGGUAACGGCUUACCAAGGCAACGAUGCGUAGCCGACCUGAGAGGGUGAUAGGCCACACUGGAGGUGAGACGCGGUCCAGACUCCUGCGGGAGGCAGCAGUAGGGAAUCGUCCGCAAUGGGCGAGAGCCUGACGGAGCGGCGCCGCGUGAGUGGUGAAGGUCUUCGGAGCGUAAAACUCUGUUAUUAGGGAAGAACAGAUGUGUAAGUAACUAUGCACGUCUUGACGGUACCUAAUCAGAAAGCCACGGCUAACUACGUG
rnacentral:rRNA from 1 species